GACGAACGCUGGCGGCGUGCUUAACACAUGCAAGUCGAACGGAAAGGCCCUGCUUUUGUGGGGUGCUCGAGUGGCGAACGGGUGAGUAACACGUGAGUAACCUGCCCUUGACUUUGGGAUAACUUCAGGAAACUGGGGCUAAUACCGGAUAGGAGCUCCUGCUGCAUGGUGGGGGUUGGAAAGUUUCGGCGGUUGGGGAUGGACUCGCGGCUUAUCAGCUUGUUGGUGGGGUAGUGGCUUACCAAGGCUUUGACGGGUAGCCGGCCUGAGAGGGUGACCGGCCACAUUGGGACUGAGAGACGGCCCAGACUCCUACGGGAGGCAGCAGUGGGGAAUAUUGCACAAUGGGCGGAAGCCUGAUGCAGCAACGCCGCGUGCGGGAUGACGGCCUUCGGGUUGUAAACCGCUUUCGCCUGUGACGAAGCGUGAGUGACGGUAAUGGGUAAAGAAGCACCGGCUAGCUACGUG
rnacentral:rRNA from 1 species